GACGAACGCUGGCGGCGUGCUUAACACAUGCAAGUCGAACGGUAAGGCUCCAGCUUGCUGGGGUACACGAGUGGCGAACGGGUGAGUAACACGUGGGUGACCUGCCCUGCACUUCGGGAUAAGCCUGGGAAACUGGGUCUAAUACCGGAUAGGACCGCACCGUGAGGGUGUGGUGGAAAGUUUUUUCGGUGUGGGAUGGGCCCGCGGCCUAUCAGCUUGUUGGUGGGGUAAUGGCCUACCAAGGCGGCGACGGGUAGCCGGCCUGAGAGGGUGGACGGCCACAUUGGGACUGAGACACGGCCCAGACUCCUACGGGAGGCAGCAGUGGGGAAUAUUGCACAAUGGGCGGAAGCCUGAUGCAGCGACGCCGCGUGGGGGAUGACGGCCUUCGGGUUGUAAACUCCUUUCACCAUCGACGAAGGGUUUCUGACGGUAGAUGGAGAAGAAGCACCGGCUAACUACGUGCCAGCAGCCGCGGUAAUACGUAGGGUGCGAGCGUUGUCCGGAAUUACUGGGCGUAAAGAGCUCGUAGGUGGUUUGUCGCGUCGUCUGUGAAAUUCCGGGGCUUAACUCCGGGCGUGCAGGCGAUACGGGCAUAACUUGAGUACUGUAGGGGAGACUGGAAUUCCUGGUGUAGCGGUGAAAUGCGCAGAUAUCAGGAGGAACACCGGUGGCGAAGGCGGGUCUCUGGGCAGUAACUGACGCUGAGGAGCGAAAGCAUGGGGAGCGAACAGGAUUAGAUACCCUGGUAGUCCAUGCCGUAAACGAUGGGCGCUAGGUGUGGGUUUCCUUCCACGGGAUCCGUGCCGUAGCUAACGCAUUAAGCGCCCCGCCUGGGGAGUACGGCCGCAAGGCUAAAACUCAAAGGAAUUGACGGGGGCCCGCACAAGCGGCGGAGCAUGUGGAUUAAUUCGAUGCAACGCGAAGAACCUUACCUGGGCUUGACAUAUACAGGAUCGCGCCAGAGAUGGUGUUUCCCUUGUGGCUUGUAUACAGGUGGUGCAUGGUUGUCGUCAGCUCGUGUCGUGAGAUGUUGGGUUAAGUCCCGCAACGAGCGCAACCCUUGUCUUAUGUUGCCAGCACGUUGUGGUGGGGACUCGUAAGAAACUGCCGGGGUUAACUCGGAGGAAGGUGGGGAUGACGUCAAAUCAUCAUGCCCCUUAUGUCCAGGGCUUCACACAUGCUACAAUGGUCGGUACAGUGGGUUGCCAGUCCGUGAGGGCGAGCUAAUCCCGCAAAGCCGGUCUCAGUUCGGAUCGGGGUCUGCAACUCGACCCCGUGAAGUCGGAGUCGCUAGUAAUCGCAGAUCAGCAACGCUGCGGUGAAUACGUUCCCGGGCCU
rnacentral:rRNA from 1 species